AUGCUCGUGAUUGCCUACAUGAAUAGGCAGUGCCGCUGCUGACGUAAAACUGGGCGUUGAGGUCGCCUGCGUCAGGGCGCGCCAGUCGGUGAGUCAGUCAGUGCGGCGACGACGCUGGCGCUGAGGUCAGCGAGUCGUGCUUUAUGGGGAUAUGGUUAGCGAGGGCCCUUGUACUGCCUUUUUGCGCUGGACGUGUGCGUGGUGUUCGCUGGGGAAGUAUUCCGAGUGCCAGCAGCUGCCGGACGGAGGUAUUUGUACGGGUUCAGAAAGAAUCUUGAAUCUGUGCCAAGCACAAGUUGUGGGUGCGCGUUUACUGCCUGGGUCCGACGCUUCCUCGGUAGGGACGGUUUUGCUCGUGAGCGAUCGGUAGCAGUCUGGAAGCCCGUGAACAGCAGAUUCGCGGGAACGACUCCCACCGAGGAUCGUUCGCGCUCCAGCGAAUGGGGAUUGUUAAGGAAAUCGUUGCCUCUGGCGCCCGAAUCAUCGGCUUGUGGGCCGUUCUUUUUUGGUCCAGCGCCUGAAUACCGCUGCCUCGCAGUGAAGCGUCACUGGUGUUCCCGUCCCGAGUCGCCACGAAGAUAUCGUUGUCGACAUUGCGUGUCGCAGACGGCUUGAGCUAGACUCGUACCCGUAUCCAAUGUUGUACAAGGGAAUGCAGCUAGCGCUCUUGCUUCUUUCCGCCAGAUUUGGGAUACUUGUAUGCCGUGCUUGUCGCUGUUGUGCGGCGGACCGGCCCUCGCCUCAUCGACUGCGAAUUGCUCGGAAGCUUCCGUAGCCGACAUGCGCUUUUGGCUAGCACCGCCGCACCUCCAAGCACAUGUGUCUGUGCGACCUGGGGGAUCCUGCAGAAAAAGCCGCGCAAGCGACAGACGCCACGGAGUCUCAUGGCUCAACCCGUGUCUCCGUUGAAAUCGAAUAUGCAUGGGAGGCCCGGAUGCACGACCAGUAUUCGUGAGGAACGAGCGCGCAAGCGAACGUUUUUAUGUUUUCAAAUGCUUGCCGCCACCUGGUAUAGACAUGGCAGACUUUCCGUCGGCUGCUAUCUACGGGCACGGGCUUAGCGCAUCACACGGAUGCAAGAUGCAUUGCUCGCGGCUUGUCCAACCGAGACAACGCUUGCGGUUUCCGUUGUACGUGACGUGUCUCUGAACGCUCCCUCCAGUAGUGAUUGGUAAACGCUCGCGUCCUCCUAGC